UUAGAUUUGCUAAAGCCUAAAACCCUACACAAAAAUGCUGUUGAAGUCACGAGCACGUGACAUCAUAUUUUAACAAUUAAAAAUGUAGGCCGAAUGCACAACCGACCUUAGCUCAGUUGGUAGAGCGGAGGACUGUAGUAGGUGAAGAACCUGUUUGCCAUCCUUAGGUCGCUGGUUCGAAUCCGGCAGGUCGGAAUAUUUAGAGGUUUUUUUUUCUUUUUUUUUUCAAAAGACACAGCUUUUGCGUGAAAGCAAGCUUUUUUUUUUUCUCAGGUCAUGAGAGGCAUUAUGAAAAUAAUUGAAAUGGAAUUAGACCAAACGGUCUCAAUUUUAACUCAAAAAGUUUUUUUUUUUUUUAAAUUAAAAUUGUAAGUAGAAUAUUAGCAUGGGGAUGCUCUUCCUUGGUUCUUAGAUUGGAGCCAAAAUAAGUGACUACUUAAUACUCUGUAUUCUGCUAUUAAUGAAGUUUUGAUGUUGACUUUUGAGUUUGAAGGAGAUAUCAAAGUGAAAAAUGAAUAGAGUAGAGAACAUAUGUAAGGAAACACAAUUCAAUAAUUAAUUCUGAUUUGAGAAGUAAAAACAUCAUUCCUGAUGAAAUUGAUCUCUUUCAAUGAAAAUGCACAAGCAAUGGAUUAUCCAAUGCUAAGAUUCUUAUUGUUCAUCUCCUGAAUAUUUGAAUUCCUGUGUGGUUGUGUGUUCCAUUGACCACGGUGAUUUCACAGCCAUACCACUUCUAAACUGAUUGGUGACUAAGUAAAACAGUGACCGCAUUCAAGCAGGAGCUUAGUGCUGAGUAUGUAGAAAAUUGAACUAACAGAAAGUAGCAAAUGAAAAGCACAAUGUAAUGCCUGAUAUCCACGGCAUAGAAAGGUCAUUUUGUCUUAGAUAAUUUUUAUUGACUUUUCACAGGAGUAUAAUAAUAACUGCAAUUUUUUUUCUUCUUGUUUCUUUCCUAU
rnacentral:tRNA from 1 species